GAUACCCUAUCUACAAGGGUCAACGUGCCUCUGCUGCACAAUAUACAAUGUAUCCAAGAUGCCGGGAUCUCUACUAUCCCUAGAACCAUGUCACGUUUACUACACUAGACUCGAUGCCACUCGUUCGAUCAUUGUAGUAAGUUUUCUAGUUAAUUGACAUGCCACUCGUUCUAGUUUAGUGUUUCUACUACACUAGUUCAAUGCCACUCUACUAGGCUAUCAUAUGUCCAAGUUCGGCUCUUUAUGCCAUUAUAGGAUUCCCAUGUCACAAAACCCAAUCCUCAUGCUACCCUAGUUCAUGUGUCUAACUCAUAGUUACACUACUAAGAAGCAUGCAAGGAAUUAGAAUUGCAACUAUCUGCUAAUCCUAUAAUGCAAUAUGAUCAACACAUAUAUAACUUAGACAUAAAAAGAAACCCGGAUGUUUCGGUAUGACACCCCCCACCUUUUGGUAGUGUCACAAGGCUAGGCUCUCAUCUGCACGUUCCCUAGUCGCCGCUUUACUCUUCGGUCUACACAAGGCCGCCUGCGCUUGUUUCUGCCAGAACGUCGCACCCGCUCGACGAAUCGACGAACCGACGAUUCCCACGCGUUUAGGCACCUCAAACACAAGCUUUUCCUCAAGCCAAGUAAUGAAGAGGAUGAAUACUUCACCUCCAAGCAACCUUUUUCUUCUCCAAAUGCACCUCCAAUUCCUCUCUUGGGUGGAGAAAUUGUUAGAGAGAGAGAUAUUUCUCUUUGGUUGCAAGUGUGAGGGAGAAAGAAAGAAAAGGCUCAAGUCCCCUAUAUAUAUAUAUAGGAAACUUGGCCUCCAAGUUUCAUAGGAAACUUGGCCUCCAAGUUAUCUAGGAACACUAUUCACAUUCGGUUUAGCAGCACGGUACAGAUAUAUAUCGUCUGCCCUGUCUCUCACAGAAAAUUCUAAAUCUUCUGUUUUCGCUUCCAUUUCAGCACGGGUCACUCUAGACUUAUAAUUUAUGUCUAUAAGUCCAAUAAAAAUAGUAUCCCACACUAUUUUUAUUUAUUUUCACUUUUACAUUUAAAAUCCGGUACCUUACACAUUUUCUCAAAAUAAUGUCCAUAAGAAAUCACACGAUGAGGAAGCAGGGAUC
rnacentral:lncRNA from 1 species